rnacentral:misc_RNA from 1 species
UUCUCUCAAGAAAUGAUUUACCUCAGCUGCAGUUUGAGGCUGCAUGGGCGCUGACUAAUAUAGCGUCCGGUACUUCUGAGCAUACACGGGUUGUCAUUGAACAUGGUGCUGUUCCAAAGUUUGUGCAACUUUUGGGCUCUCCAAGCGAUGAAGUUAGAGAGCAGGCUGUCUGGGCCCUGGGUAAUAUAGCUGGUGAUUCACCAAGUUGUAGGG